UACAGAGGGGGCAAGCGUUUGUUCGGAAUUACUGGGCGUAAAGGGCGCGUAGGCGGCCGCCUAAGUCAGACGUGAAAUCCCUCGGCUCAACCGGGGAACUGCGUCUGAUACUGGGUGGCUUGAAUCCGGGAGAGGGAUGCGGAAUUCCAGGUGUAGCGGUGAAAUGCGUAGAUAUCUGGAGGAACACCGGUGGCGAAGGCGGCAUCCUGGACCGGCAUUGACGCUGAGGGCGCGAGAGGCCAGGG
rnacentral:rRNA from 1 species